rnacentral:rRNA from 1 species
CUUGCUCCUUUGACGUUAGCGGCGGACGGGUGAGUAACACGUGGGUAACCUACCUAUAAGACUGGGAUAACUUCGGGAAACCGGAGCUAAUACCGGAUAAUAUUUCGAACCGCAUGGUUCGAUAGUAAAAGAUGGUUUUGCUAUCACUUAUAGAUGGACCCGCGCCGUAUUAACUAGUUGGUAAGGUAACGGCUUACCAAGGCGACGAUACGUAGCCGACCUGAGAGGGUGAUCGGCCACACUGGAACUGAGACACGGUCCAGACUCCUACGGGGGCAGCAGUG